GACGGGGGGAGCCAGCGUUGUCCGGAGUUACUGGGCGUAAAGCGCACGCAGGCGGCGGCGUAAGGGUCGUGUGAAAGCUCCCGGCUCAACCGGGAGAGGCCAUGGGAGACUGGGUCGCUUGAGCGCCGGAGAGGUAGAUCGAAUUCCUUGUGUAGCGGUGAAAUGCGUAGAGAUCGGCAGGAAGACCAAGGGGGAAGCCAUUAUACUGGCCGGCAGCUGACGCUGAGGUGCGAUGGCGUGGGGAGCGAACCGG
rnacentral:rRNA from 1 species